rnacentral:rRNA from 1 species
UACGGAGGGUGCAAGCGUUGUCCGGAUUCACUGGGUGUAAAGGGCGUGUAGGCGGGAGCAUGUGUCAGAAGUGAAAUCGCGCGGCUUAACCGUGUCAAUGGCUUCUGAAACUGUGCUUCUUGAAUGCAGGAGAGGCAGAUGGAAUUCCAGGUGUAGCGGUGGAAUGCGUAGAUAUCUGGAAGAACACCGGUGGCGAAGGCGGUCUGCUGGCCUGUGAUUGACGCUGAGGCGCGAAAGUGUGGGGAGCAAACAGG